rnacentral:tRNA from 1 species
GCGGGUGUAAUUCAGUGGCAGAAUGUAAGCUUCCCAAGCUUAAUACGACGGUUCGAUUCCGUUCACCCGCUCCA